CGACUGCCGGCGCCUGUGUCCCUUCAAUAUAUGGCUCUUGCGCCUGACUCUAUUAUGAGUGCUUGCGUGCUGCUACCAGUCAUACUGGAAGUUGCAUUCGACACAGAUUGCGUUCGUCGUUCACGCCCCAGGGCGCUGCACGUCGACAUGAAAGAAUUCACAUCGUUGCCUCGUGUAGCUAGCCACAUAUGCGCUGCUGUCCAAGGACACCUUGUGGAUGCUAUUGGUCUCGGAUGCGGCUAACAAAAAAGGCCGAUGGUGCUUAGGCCCCUUGUGCCUAGCAAAGAUUGUCCAGUCGGAAACACGACAGCGGGCCUAGCUGAUGCCUUGUGUAGAGGCUUGAGCCGGCUCGUCGAUGAGGACGUGCUACCUGGUUGAUCCUGCCAGUA
rnacentral:misc_RNA from 1 species